CUGAACCCCUCUCGUGCAUGCGCCUGCUUCACCUCACCAGACCUGGUACGUUGUCGCUACUUAGUCCUGAAUUCCCUAACCUCUUCUGUGUUUAUUUCCUAACCCCCCUGAGGUAAAAGGAAUUAUUUUGUUGGACUCUUGCCCUGCUCAGUGCGCCCUGGCCUUUUCUCCUGCCGACCUCUGAGGAACCUAUUUUGUCCAGGUUGCAUGGUGUGCGCUUCUGCCCCAUCGCCCUUUUUGUCUAAUUACAUUUUUUCAUUUUUGUAAUUCCACCUUGUCUCCCGUCUCUGCAUCCUGGGGUCACCCCCCCUUGACCAAGACCUUAACAGAAUCUUUCAUAUUUCACCUGCAUUUUCCACCAGGGAACUAUCAUUUCAUCUUCUCCAGCUCGUUAAGGACUUUACCAUUCUCACCAAGCUGGUCAGUCAGGUCAGAGAUCUCCUCUACAAAUCACAUUUCAAAAUCAGAUUCAGGACCUCAAGUUGCUCGAAGGCUUCUUCAUAAGAGUUCUUUACUUUGAAGAGUUCUGUGCCUAGGGAGCGGCACUCCUUCUGCGAUCCUUCCAGCUCAGCCUGGCACUCUUCAUACUUCAGUUUUGACUCGGACAGAAUCUAAAAACAUGAUUUUAAUUGUUGCUUCCUGUCUGAAAUUCACCAAACUACUUAUCCAUGCAUUUUAACUAGGGAUGUAACGGUAUUGUAGAUAGUUUCAAAAUCCUCACAAUAAUGCAAACUAAAACUUGAUAGGUGUAGUUUUAUUCUGGCGCUUUUGCAUCGGCCAGUCUGAAAAUAAAUUACACCUCGUACAAUUCUCGGCACAGCGCGGGACCGGCAAGGUGUGGGUGUGGCACACCGUAAAGGGGAGGAAAGGAAGAUGCAUGUGUGAGAAGUUUGUUCGUAGUAGAUAUGAGGAAUUGUUUUUUAUGGACAUUUGCAGAACAUUUGAUCAAAAUCCAUCCAUAACUUUGUUGAGUUAUGUUGCCAACAGACAAAAAAAACCCUGGCGAAAACAUUACCUCUUUGGCGGAGGUCUGCGUACUAAAGCGCUACCUUCGUCUCGAGCAUUUCCAAAGCGACAUAACGGAUCACGGUGCACCACCGCGGAGAGAAAGCGUGCGGUAGGAGCGCGGACUCUGCACACCGCGGGUAAUAUGAGAAGCUACUUGAUAAGCUGUCACCCGGAAAAUAUAUUCAAAACCAGCUAAGCUAAACAUCGAUUUUUGAGGUAUUUACAUUAUCAAAAGUUAAAUUGUCAGUUGACUUUUCUGAGAAACAUCAUAAAAAAAAUGUCAACUGCAGAAGAGACCGCUUCUUAGAAAGUAAAAGAUAAACACUUGUUUUACACCGGAUGUUUUAUAUUGUCAUUUGAUGGACACUCAACUGUAAUAAUUUGUAAUAUUUGCUUGAAACAGUGGAUGUUCCUGCACUAUUCUUUGCACUUAAAAUACAUGUUUGCAGUAAUAAAUAUGAAUAGAACAAAGAAA